CAGUCGCCGCGGUAAAACGGAGGGUGCGAGCGUUAUUCGGAAUUACUGGGCGUAAAGCGCACGCAGGCGGUUGCCCAAGUCAGAUGUGAAAGCCCCGGGCUUAACCUGGGAACUGCAUUUGAAACUGGGCGACUAGAGUAUGAAAGAGGAAAGCGGAAUUUCCAGUGUAGCAGUGAAAUGCGUAGAUAUUGGAAGGAACACCGAUGGCGAAGGCAGCUUUCUGGGUCGAUACUGACGCUCAUGUGCGAAAGCGUGGAGAGCAAACAGGAUUAGAUACCCGCGUAGUCCCUGUCUCUUAUAC
rnacentral:rRNA from 1 species